rnacentral:rRNA from 1 species
UACGUAGGGUCCGAGCGUUGUCCGGAAUUACUGGGCGUAAAGAGCUCGUAGGUGGUUUGUCGCGUUGUCCGUGAAAACUCACAGCUCAACUGUGGGCGUGCGGGCGAUACGGGCAGACUGGAGUACUGCAGGGGAGACUGGAAUUCCUGGUGUAGCGGUGGAAUGCGCAGAUAUCAGGAGGAACACCGGUGGCGAAGGCGGGUCUCUGGGCCGAUACUGACGCUGAGGCGCGAAAGCCAGGGGAGCAAACGGG